rnacentral:rRNA from 1 species
GGAUAACCUGCCCUUGGGACCGGGAUAACCCCGGGAAACUGGGGAUAAUACCGGAUAACGCAUAUCUGCUGGAAUGCUUUAUGCGUAAAAUGGAUUUGUCUGCCCAAGGAUGGGUCUGCGGCCUAUCAGGUAGUAGUGGGUGUAAUGUACCUACUAGCCUACGACGGGUACGGGUUGUGAGAGCAAGAGCCCGGAGAUGGAUUCUGAGACAUGAAUCCAGGCCCUACGGGGCGCAGCAGGCGCGAAAACUUUACAAUGCGGGAAACCGUGAUAAGGGGACACCGAGUGCCAGCAUCAUAUGUUGGCUGUCCAGAUGUGUAAAAUACAUCUGUUAGCAAGGGCGGGCAAGACCGGUGCCAGCCGCCGCGGUAACACCGGCGGCCCGAGUGGUGAUCGUGAUUAUUGGGUCUAAAGGGUCCGUAGCCGGUUUGGUCAGUCCUCCGGGAAAUCUGACGGCUCAACCGUUAGGCUUUCGGUGGAUACUGCCAGACUUGGAACCGGGAGAGGUAAGAGGUACUACAGGGGUAGGAGUGAAAUCUUGUAAUCCCUGUGAGACCACCUGUGGCGAAGGCGUCUUACCAGAACGGGUUCGACGGUGAGGGACGAAAGCUGGGGGCACGAACCGGAUUAGAUACCCGGGUAGUCCCAGCCGUAAACGAUGC